AUAUGGGUUUACUAGUUGGU
rnacentral:miRNA from 1 species